rnacentral:misc_RNA from 1 species
AUCCGUGGAAUUAGUCGAGGUGCGCACAUGUUGUUCCGGACACCACGCUAAUAAAAAAUUAUUCAUCUAUUGAAAAAUCUCUUCCUGUCCACAGAAUCUUACUACUGAAGAAACAUUGAACUCUAAAACUGGUCUGGGAAGUAGAGGUGAACAUAUAAGAGUUUAGGUACACAUACCAUAGUCACUGUGUGAGAAGAUCUUCAGACAAGUUUUACUAGACAGUUCCCAAAGCCGCACUGUUUUGUCCAUUGAUGAUGAGAGCAAUUGCUGAGACUUGGACCACGAGAGGUCAAGCACAUCAUCCAAAUGUCCCUCAAAUGAACAGAUGGGCUUUUCUGAAAGAGCAAAAACUGUCUCAGGCACCAAAAUAUGGUCAAAGCACAUUGAUUUUCGACUAACAGAUGACCUCCCUCUCCGUUUCUUCUCCUCCAAGUGGACAUCAAAAUUUGGUGACAUAGUUGUUGGCUCGGGAGAAGCAUUUGCCGAUAUCAAUAGGUUCAAAUUCCCAUCUUCUGGUUUAUCCAGCAAUAGAUCACCCUUUCUCUCUGAUGAUGUAACCUCCCUAACAUGUAUGAUGCGAUCCUCACCGGCACUAGCAAGAUAUUUUCCAUCCAAACUAAAUUGUAUGGUCCAAAUAGACCCGGUGUGUGCCUGUAUCUCUUGGCUCUUAUAAAGAGCUGUAAGUUCUUUGCUGGACUUCCCAUACUGCCUCACCCUAACUCUUUCAGGUCCAUGAGGGGAAGCAUCCUGACUAUCAUCUGUGGCAGAGCUUGACCGUCGACCACCCUUUUCAGAAGAUGUAUCCCUCUCAUCACUACUCCGACGUUCCUUAUGACCUGCCACCGAGCUAGCCACAUUUCUAAUGCUCUUCAACCAGCUACCCCUCUUUUUAUUCUUAGGACCAGUCCCACCAAUCCCAUGCGUAUUACAAUCCAAAUUAUUAUUAUUCCCAUCUUCCACAUUCUGUCUUCUCAUCAAUUCCUGCACUAUUGGUGAAGUUCCAACACACAUAUCAAAUUCUUCAAUAGUCAACUGCUUUCCUGUACUGACUUCCUUAAGUUUGUUCCACAUCCCGUCCUCCCUCACUUCAUUAACCACAAAUUCCUUUCCAUUAUCAAGAUUCUUUAUCGUGCACACACUCUCCUCAAUUUCAACAUCUCUAUUUGAUUCCAAAUCAUCCUCAAGCUCACCAUUUUCCACUAUCGGUAACAAAUUACAGCUCUCAUUGUCCCUGGAAUCGGUUCUAAUCGUCAAUACAGAUCCAUUGCCCUCAUGUAAUUGAUCAUCACCGCGACAUUGACCUGAGUUUCCAUCAUUAUUUACAACUAUACAUUCACCACCAUUGGCUACACUGACAGAUACUGAUGACGAGGAAAUAGAAUUGACACAAAGAAUAUCACUACUUUUAUGAACUGAAGAACUAUUGCAAUUGGAAUCGCCAUUCAAUUUUGAUGGAAUAUUCUUAGAAACACUACACUUAACACUACUAGCUUGGGAACUACUACAAUUAGGUAUACCUUCAGCACAAACAGCUUGACACUCCAAAUGAACUGAUGAAACCGAUCUGCCAGCACCACGACUGAGACCCAUUUGACGAAAAAGCCGGAGUCGACGUUCUUCAAUAGAGGAAGGUUCAGAGAUCCACACGUCAUAGUUAUUCAAAACUCCCAUUGCAUAAUUGGGGAGACCCCAAUUUGAAAUACAAUCUCUAUCUUCUUCUCCUUCGUCUUCAGAAGGCGAAGAAGAUGAGGAACAAGAAGUGUUUGCAGAAGAAAGCAAACGAUCAAGAGAAUCGUGAAAGCACUCGUUCUCGUCUUCUCCUUCUCUUGCUUUGCUCAUUCUUCUCCUCCAAAUGGAGGCAUUCCCAUGAAAAUGCCACCAAAAUCACCUCCCCCUACAAAAACACUAAGAUCCACCUCACAACUCAGCUCAAUGUAGCUUUAAACGUUCAAAUCUUCAACACCCAUUUCAUCAAAUUGACUAAAACCGAUCAGUGAAGUCUAAAAAACGAGUUUGUGGGUGUGUGGGAAAAUUCCCCCAAAUCACCUCAACCCCCGCGAAGAAUACUGAGAUCCAGCUCAAAACUCAGUUCAACAGUUACUUUAAUGGCCAAAUCGUGCACACCCACUUCGUCAAAUGGACUAAUAUAUAUCUCUGUGUGACUGAAAGUGACCAAUACAGAGUCAAAAACGAAA